rnacentral:rRNA from 1 species
AUUGAACGCUGGCGGCAGGCCUAACACAUGCAAGUCGAGCGGAGCGGCGGACGGGUGAGUAAUGCCUCGGAAUCUGCCUGGUAGUGGGGGAUACCGUCCGGAAACGGGCGCUAAUACCGCAUACUCUCAGAUGAGCCUAGGUCGGAUUAGCUAGUUGGUGGGGUAACGGCCUACCAAGGCGACGAUCCGUAACGGGUCUGAGAGGAUGAUCAGUUACACGGGAACUGAGACACGGUCGAGACUCCGACGGGAGGCAGCAGUGGGGAAUAUUGGACGAUGGGCGAAAGCGUGAUCCAGCCAGGUGGCGUGUGUGAAGAAGGUCUUCGGAUUCGAAAGCACUGUAAGUUUUGAGGCGUUACCAACAGAAUAAGCACCGGCUAACUUCGUGCCAGCAGCCGCGGUAAUAC